UACGGAGGAUGCAAGCGUUAUCCGGAAUUAUUGGGCGUAAAGCGUCCGCAGGUGGCACUUCAAGUCUGCUGUCAAAGACCGGGGCUUAACCCUGGAAAGGCAGUGGAAACUGAAGCGCUAGAGUGUGGCAGGGGUAGAGGGAAUUCCCGGUGUAGCGGUGAAAUGCGUAGAGAUCGGGAGGAAUACCGAUGGCGAAGGCAGGUCUCUGGGCUGACACUGACGCUCAUGCACGAAAGCGUGGGGAGCAAACAGG
rnacentral:rRNA from 1 species